rnacentral:rRNA from 1 species
UACGAAGGGGGCUAGCGUUGCUCGGAAUCACUGGGCGUAAAGGGUGCGUAGGCGGGUUUUAAGUCAGGGUGAAAUCCUGGAGCUCAACUCCAGAACUGCCUUUGAUACUGAAGAUCUUGAGUCCGGGAGAGGUGAGUGGAACUGCGAGUGUAGAGGUGAAAUUCGUAGAUAUUCGCAAGAACACCAGUGGCGAAGGCGGCUCACUGGCCCGGUACUGACGCUGAGGCACGAAAGCGAUGGGGAGCAAACAGGGAUUAAGAUAC